AACGAACGCUGGCGGCAGGCCUAACACAUGCAAGUCGAACGCUCCGCAAGGGGAGUGGCAGACGGGUGAGUAACACGUGGGAAUCUUCCUGUUGGUUCGGAAUAGCUCAGGGAAACUUGGGGUAAUACCGGAUAAGCCCGAAAGGGGAAAGAUUGAUCGCCGACAGCUGAGCCCGCGUCUGAUUAGCUAGUUGGUGAGGUAAUGGCUCACCAAGGCGACGAUCAGUAGCUGGUCUGAGAGGAUGACCAGCCACACUGGGACUGAGACACGCCCCAGACUCCUACGGGAGGCAGCAGUGGGGAAUAUUGGACAAUGGGCGCAAGCCUGAUCCAGCCAUGCCGCGUGAGUGACGAAGGUCUUCGGAUUGUAAAGCUCUUUUGGCGGGGACGAUAAUGACGGUACCCGCAGAAUAAGCCCCGGCUAACUUCGUGCCAGCCGCCGCGGUAACAC
rnacentral:rRNA from 1 species